GGCGAGGGGGACACCGUGGAGGGGGGUUGGGGGGGACGAGGCCGGGCAGCUCUCCCGCAGGGGGCCGGGCAGGGCAGCGGGGGUGGGCUCUGCUGGGCGUCAUCCCCCCCUCCCCUUCUCCCCGGGGAACCGGGGCGGUGUGGGGGGGGGGCCGCUCCCGGAGCAUCCCCCCUUUGCCCGGCUCCCCCCCUCCUCCUCCUCCUCCCCGCUUCCUCCGUUUAAAGGCCGGGUCCCGGCGGGGCCGAGCGGAGGAGCAGCGGCCGCUCCGCAGCCCCAGUGCCGCGGCGGGGGCGCGCAGCGCACGGGGCGGGCGCUGGAUGCGGCGCCGGGGGCGGGCGGGCGGCAGCCGAGCGGCUCCGGUCCGGUGCCCGGUCCCCGGUCCCCUCCUCCCGUCCCCCCCAGCGGGUCCUCCCCGCGCGGCGGCGCGGAGCUGGGAGCGAUGAGCGCGGCCGGAGGAGCCGGCACCGCGGCGGGCACCGCCACCUCCGCCCUCUGCCUGCUCCUCUCGCUCACCGCCGUGGCCGUCUGCCUGCUGCUGGGAGCCAAAACGGCGGAGCUGCAGGGCCGCCUGGCAGCCCUGGAGGAGCGCGGAGCCGCCGGUCCCGGCCCGCUGCUGGAAGCGCUGCAGCCCCGCCUGGAGCAGCUCCUCCGAGAGAAACUGGGUGAAGGACUAGCUAAGCUGCGGACAGCGAGAGAGGCUCCGUCAGACUGCAUGUGCCCCCCAGGCCCUCCGGGGAGGCGAGGGAAGCCCGGACGGCGCGGAGAGCCCGGUAAGCAUCGCGGUCACCCCACCGCUGUCACGGGGCUGGGCACAAACAUCCCGGUACCGCUACCAUCACCUCUCUCUGACGGGCUGGCUCCUGGUUAA
rnacentral:lncRNA from 1 species